rnacentral:sRNA from 1 species
GAAAGAUGGUUCCCUGACAAGUUCAGCACUCUGAAGCCUCACUUCGGACUUCUGAGGCUUCCAAUCGUUGUGUACGUUCACUGGUUACUGUUCCAAGUUCUGACCACAGUCCAAAAAGGGAAUGUUUAUAAUUGUGACCAAUUUCAAAGGACUACCACAGGCAGUAGUUCAACUUAGCGAUUACUGAAUCUAGAAGCCAAGAACUGACUAUAACUCUUCAUCUAUGAAUUGCAAGAACAAUUUGGUUUUAUACUUAUGUAAUAAAUUUAAGGAAAAAAAUAGCAUUCUAUUGUCUAUAACCCCACGUCACUUGCUACUAAUCUGGAUGAACUUUGGGGUGAAGUGGAUUCAACAUUGCAAGCGAAUCAUUGGUACGCCUCUUUGAACAGUUUAUAUAUGUACUUUGUUUGUAUCAACUGAAUGCCAACUGAAUAAAUUUAAAUCACUUUGACUUGUAUGACAAUGCAAUGAAUCAAUAAACAAAAUUGUUUACAAAAAAUA